AGAAGAGAACGUUUAAAUGUCCUCUCCAUAGCGCUGGCUCAACUCCAGCUCUGUCUUUCAUGCCACAUAGCAUAAUGAGAUUGCUAGGUCCGAGACUCAUGAACUGGAUCUCCAUUUCAAAUUCUGACAACGUUGGAUGACAACGUUGGGCAAUAACUGGAGACCCUGCUUGGGACUGUGAUCUGCUUUCAUUUUGGGUGCUUCAGAUCUGAAACACGAGUCUUCAGUACGAAGUUACUGGUAGUUGAUUAUGCUGCCCUGCAUCCCGCAAAAGGAAAACAAGAUUUCCACUAUAGCCCUGGCAACGCCGUGGAUCUGGGGAAUCUGUGUGGGUGAGAAGCGACUUCUCAGUCCCUACGAUCCACAUAAUUAUCUUUCUGAACAACUGCUUUUUUUUGCCUUUUGGUGGAGACAAUAAUCAAAUUCAAACGACCUAUUUGUGUAAAUGGUGGAGAUUUUUUAGAAGUUUAUUUUUAAGAUUAUUAAAAAAAAUUCCUAAAAUGACCAUCUCAAACUAUAGCCUAUGUUCAACCAAACAGAAAAUUUAUCCAAC
ensembl:lncRNA